rnacentral:rRNA from 1 species
CAGCACCUCAAGUGGUCAGGAUGAUUAUUGGGCCUAAAGCAUCCGUAGCCGGCGCUGUAAGUUUUCGGUUAAAUCUGUACGCUCAACGUACAGGCUGCCGGGAAUACUGCAGCGCUAGGGAGUGGGAGAGGUAGACGGUACUCGAUAGGAAGGGGUAAAAUCCUUUGAUCUAUUGAUGACCACCUGUGGCGAAGGCGGUCUACCAGAACACGUCCGACGGUGAGGGAUGAAAGCUGGGGGAGCAAACCGGAUUAGAUACCCGAGUAGUCC